UCUUUUCGGGGCAGGGUGCAAUUCCCUACCGGCGGUACAGCCCGCGAGCGGAUGAUGGCUGCGAAAGCGGUGGUCAGAUGCAGGAUCCGGUGAGAUUCCGGAGCCGACAGUAUAGUCUGGAUGAGAGAAAAG
rnacentral:ncRNA from 1 species